CACCGGCUAACUCCGUGCCAGCAGCCGCGGUAAUACGGAGGGUGCGAGCGUUAAUCGGAAUUACUGGGCGUAAAGGGUGCGUAGGUGGUUGAUUAAGUUAUCUGUGAAAUUCCUGGGCUUACCCUGGGACGGUCAGAUAAUACUGGUUGACUUGAGUAUGGGAGAGGGUAGUGGAAUUUCCGGUGUAGCGGUGAAAUGCGUAGAGAUCGGAAGGAACACCAGUGGCGAAGGCGGCUACCUGGCCUAAUACUGACACUGAGGCACGAAAGCGUGGGGAGCAAACAGGAUUAUAUGCC
rnacentral:rRNA from 1 species